rnacentral:rRNA from 1 species
UUUUAAAUUUAGAGUUUGAUCCUGGCUCAGGACGAACGCUGGCGGCGUGCUUAACACAUGCAAGUCGAGCGAUGAAGCUUCCUUCGGGAAGUGGAUUAGCGGCGGACGGGUGAGUAACACGUGGGUAACCUGCCUCAAAGUGGGGGAUAGCCUUCCGAAAGGAAGAUUAAUACCGCAUAAUAUAAGAGAAUCGCAUGAUUUUUUUAUCAAAGAUUUAUUGCUUUGAGAUGGACCCGCGGCGCAUUAGCUAGUUGGUAAGGUAACGGCUUACCAAGGCAACGAUGCGUAGCCGACCUGAGAGGGUGAUCGGCCACAUUGGAACUGAGACACGGUCCAGACUCCUACGGGAGGCAGCAGUGGGGAAUAUUGCGCAAUGGGGGAAACCCUGACGCAGCAACGCCGCGUGGGUGAUGAAGGUCUUCGGAUUGUAAAGCCCUGUUUUCUAGGACGAUAAUGACGGUACUAGAGGAGGAAGCCACGGCUAACUACGUGCCAGCAGCCGCGGUAAUACGUAGGUGGCGAGCGUUGUCCGGAUUUACUGGGCGUAAAGGGUGCGUAGGCGGAUGUUUAAGUGGGAUGUGAAAUCCCCGGGCUUAACCUGGGGGCUGCAUUCCAAACUGGAUAUCUAGAGUGCAGGAGAGGAAAGCGGAAUUCCUAGUGUAGCGGUGAAAUGCGUAGAGAUUAGGAAGAACACCAGUGGCGAAGGCGGCUUUCUGGACUGUAACUGACGCUGAGGCACGAAAGCGUGGGUAGCAAACAGGAUUAGAUACCCUGGUAGUCCACACCGUAAACGAUGGAUACUAGGUGUAGGGGGUAUCAACUCCCCCUGUGCCGCAGUUAACACAAUAAGUAUCCCGCCUGGGGAGUACGGUCGCAAGAUUAAAACUCAAAGGAAUUGACGGGGGCCCGCACAAGCAGCGGAGCAUGUGGUUUAAUUCGAAGCAACGCGAAGAACCUUACCUGGACUUGACAUCCCUUGCAUAGCCUAGAGAUAGGUGAAGCCCUUCGGGGCAAGGAGACAGGUGGUGCAUGGUUGUCGUCAGCUCGUGUCGUGAGAUGUUAGGUUAAGUCCUGCAACGAGCGCAACCCUUGUUAUUAGUUGCUACCAUUAAGUUGAGCACUCUAAUGAGACUGCCUGGGUAACCAGGAGGAAGGUGGGGAUGACGUCAAAUCAUCAUGCCCCUUAUGUCCAGGGCUACACACGUGCUACAAUGGUAGGUACAAUAAGACGCAAGACCGUGAGGUGGAGCAAAACUUAUAAAACCUAUCUCAGUUCGGAUUGUAGGCUGCAACUCGCCUACAUGAAGCUGGAGUUGCUAGUAAUCGCGAAUCAGAAUGUCGCGGUGAAUACGUUCCCGGGCCUUGUACACACCGCCCGUCACACCAUGAGAGCUGGUAACACCCGAAGUCCGUGAGGUAACCGUAAGGAACCAGCGGCCGAAGGUGGGAUUAGUGAUUGGGGUGAAGUCGUAACAAGGUAGCCGUAGGAGAACCUGCGGCUGGAUCACCUCCUUUCUA